rnacentral:rRNA from 1 species
ACGAACGCUGGCGGCGUGCUUAACACAUGCAAGUCGAACGAGACGAUUUAGAAGCUUGCUUUUAUUGAGUCGAGUGGCAAACGGGUGAGUAACGCGUAGACAACCUGCCGCAAAGAUGGGGACAACAGUCCGAAAGGACUGCUAAUACCGAAUGACGUAUCCAUUCCGCAUGGAGAGGAUACCAAAGGCCGGGCAACCGGUCACUGAAGGAUGGGCCUGCGUCUGAUUAGCUAGUUGGUGGGGUAACGGCCCACCAAGGCGACGAUCAGUAGCCGGUCUGAGAGGAUGAACGGCCACAUUGGGACUGAGACACGGCCCAAACUCCUACGGGAGGCAGCAGUGGGGAAUCUUCCGCAAUGGGCGCAAGCCUGACGGAGCAACGCCGCGUGAGUGAAGAAGGUUUUCGGAUCGUAAAGCUCUGUUGAGAGGGACGAGAGGCAAGGCUAGGAAAUGAGCUUUGUAGGACGGUACCUUUCGAGGAAGCCACGGCUAACUACGUG